rnacentral:lncRNA from 1 species
AGGGAUAUUAACAUUAUAUUUAAUAUAGGGAGGAGUUAAUAGUCCUGUGAAUUUUAUUUAGAUGACUUCCUCUCAAAGUGUAGCUUUUGCUAAAAUAUCUACUGAAUCUUUUAUUGACCUGCUUUUAGCAAAUAAUAUAGAAAGAAAGAGAGAGAGAGAGAGAGAGAGAGAGAGAGAGAGAGAGAGAGAGAGAGAGAGAGAAACUCAAGGCUACCCUGUAUCCUUUAUAAAUUGUAGUAUAAGUAAUUUUGAUAAUACAGCAUCUAAUUUUGUGAGGCUCUGUGUCUCUGCAGCCAAAAGUCUAAAAGUAUUAUAAGCACAUAUCAGAUGGAUUUAAUUACAGGCAGUUUAUUUUUCAAGUGCUGCUUUUGAAUAGAACAGCGAGUUGCUAUGAGCCCAAGGCAACUUCCCUGCAAAGUAAUCCAGGUGCCGCAUGCUACUGCUGAACAGCCUUGCAUGGCUGUGGAGAACAGUUUCUGUCUAGUGCCCAGGCUUCUUGUGAGUUUUUGGUGUUGCCUCUAGGCACACCUUUUCUCCCCUGAAUCUUCUUCAAGGGGACUGUGUGUUUCAUGGGCUGUUGGUACUCUAGGCCUUGGAAACCAACAUCAUUAGGGUCUACCUUUUAAACCAUUCAUAUUCUUUUAAUUCAAGUGCCAGCUAUGUUAAAAAAUAUGGAAUGAGUUUCUAUUAUUUUCUGAGAAGCAACUGCAUCUGAUUUUUGAAACACAGUAUUUCUUUGAUAGGUGUUAGAGAAAUUUAAUAAUCAGAUGGAAACACAUAUUUAAUAGUUGCCUUUUGUGCUUUUCCAGGGUAAAACAGUUACAUAUCUGAGUAAUCUGAUUUCUGUGGGGUUGUCACAUUUUAUUUUUAAUAGAAGUUUACUUUUGCUUGGGAAUAUGUAACUUGAACAUAUUAACAUUUUCUUUUCCCACAAAGUCCAUGAAGAAAAAGGCGCAUUUUAGUGCAUGGCAGUCACUCACAUUUCCAAACUCCCCCCUGCGUAUCUUCAUGUGCUUGGAUUUAUAUGAAAGCCUGAUAAAGAGAUGACAAUUAAUGUGCUCAACCUGUUAGGAGAGGGUUGGCACACUGUUGAUUUAAGCUUGUUGAAUGAGAUAUCCCAGAAUGUUAAAGAGGCAGACCAGCAGGUUUCAGGUGAUUAAAGAAAAUCCCUCGUCUUGGAAGAACUUGAAGGAACACGAUGCUAUUUAAGCAGAAUCUAAUCAGAAGGAAGAAUAGCUUGGAAGAGAAAAGAGGGAAUGUUUCAUGUCAUUAUUUGCAAAGCGUUGGAACAAAAGGUUAGCAAGAUAAUUAAGUGCCUUGCUGCUUAGUAGAAUUUUUCAAAGUAAGUUGAUUAGAGACCUUCUUU